AACUUGCCGUUAGCUCACGUUACUUGAAGCUGCUAGCUUAAAACUGCCUGUUUCGCUGUUUUUAUGAUCCAAUUCUGUCACCGGACGCCGCUAAAUAUUCCCGACAGUUACCUUAAUGUUAGACGACAAGAUGACAAAGAGCUCCACAGUCGGUAGAAUCCGUUAAAUGUCCGUUAAGCGUCCGUCAACCGUCCAUUUCCUCGGUGCGCUGGUGUUGUUUUGUCGUCUUUGGGAAGGAGGUGGCGAUGAAGGAGGAGGUCCCACUCUGACAUGUUUUCAGGAUCCGGUUCAAGUAACCUACGGACCCGUAACGUGACGCGAGCGAAGAGUCGAGAGACUCGACUUUCUAAGUAUAGACGAUCUUUGAUGAAAUACGGUGUCUCUCGAGGGUCAAAUACCAAACCAUUUUAUAAUGAAGGAAAAGACACACAGAGAGCAGAAUUUCUGAAAGACGAGUACAUCCCAAGCCUCCUGGCGGCUUCCGAGAUCCUUGGGGUCUUCCUGUUUGGGAAGGGGUGGUGGUUCUGGUUCUGAUGGACC
ensembl:lncRNA